GACGAACGCUGGCGGCGUGCUUAACACAUGCAAGUCGAACGGUGAAGCGCCUUCCUUUUUGGUGGGUGUGGAUGAGUGGCGAACGGGUGAGUAACACGUGAGUAACCUGCCCCCUUCUUCUGGAUAACCGCAUGAAAGUGUGGCUAAUACGGGAUAUUCUGGGUCUGUCGCAUGAUGGGUCUGGGAAAGAUAUUGUUUCGGUGGGGGAUGGGCUCGCGGCCUAUCAGCUUGUUGGUGGGGUGAUGGCCUACCAAGGCGGUGACGGGUAGCCGGCCUGAGAGGGUGGACGGUCACACUGGGACUGAGACACGGCCCAGACUCCUACGGGAGGCAGCAGUGGGGAAUAGUGCACAAUGGGCGCAAGCCUGAUGCAGCGACGCCGCGUGAGGGAUGGAGGCCUUCGGGUUGUGAACCUCUUCCGCCAGUGAAGCAGGCCUGCCUCGUUUGUGGGUGGGUUGACGGUAGCUGGAGAAGAAGCGCCGGCUAACUACGUG
rnacentral:rRNA from 1 species